ACAGAACCCAAGUCUACCAG
rnacentral:misc_RNA from 1 species